GCCAGGCGUUGUGGCAGGCGCCUGUAGUCCCAGCUACUUGGGAGGCUGAGGCAGGAGACUCGCUUGAGCCCAGGAGUUGGAGGUUGCUGUGAGUGUGAUGCCAUGGCACUCUACCCAGGGGGAUAGCUUGAGGCUCCGUCUCAAAAAAAAAAAAAAAAAAAAUAGACAGAGUCUCACUUUGUCACCCUCAGUAGAGUGCUGUGACAUCACAGCUCACAGCAACCUCAAACUCUUGGCUUAAGUGAUGCUCUUGCC
rnacentral:sRNA from 1 species